CCUACGGGCGGCAGCAGUGAGGAAUAUUGGUCAAUGGACGAGAGUCUGAACCAGCCAAGUAGCGUGAAGGAUGACUGCCCUAUGGUUUGUAAACUUCUUUUAUAUGGGAAUAAAACGUUCCACGUGUGGGAUUUUGUAUGUACCAUAUGAAUAAGGAUCGGCUAACUCCGUGCCAGCAGCCGCGGUAAUACGGAGGAUCCGAGCGUUAUCCGGAUUUAUUGGGUUUAAAGGGAGCGUAGGUGGAUUGUUAAGUCAGUUGUGAAAGUUUGCGGCUCAACCGUAAAAUUGAAGUUGAAACUGGCAGUCUUGAGUACAGUAGAGGUGGGCAGAAUUCGUGGUGUAGCGGUGAAAUGCUUAGAUAUCACGAAGAACUCCGAUUGCGAAGGCAGUUCACUGGACUGCAACUGACACUGAGGCUCGAAAGUGUGGGUAUCAAACAGGAUUAGAUACCCCUGUAGUC
rnacentral:rRNA from 1 species